AGAGGCGAUUCUCAGUCGAGAUUCCUACGGGAGGCAGCAGUGGGGAAUUUUGGACAAUGGGGGCAACCCUGAUCCAGCCAUUCCGCGUGAGUGAAGAAGGCCUUCGGGUUGUAAAGCUCUUUCGCAAGGGAAGAAAACUUAUGAUCGAAUAAAUCAUGAGGUUGACGGUACCUUGAUAAGAAGCACCGGCUAACUACGUGCCAGCAGCCGCGGUAAUACGUAGGGUGCGAGCGUUAAUCGGAAUUACUGGGCGUAAAGCGUGCGCAGGCGGUUUUGUAAGUCGGAUGUGAAAUCCCCGGGCUCAACCUGGGAACUGCGUUCGAAACUGCAAGGCUAGAGUGUGUCAGAGGGGGGUAGAAUUCCACGUGUAGCAGUGAAAUGUGUAGAGAUGUGGAGGAAUACCAAUGGCGAAGGCAGCCCCCUGGGAUAACACUGACGCUCAUGCACGAAAGCGUGGGGAGCAAACAGGAUUAGAUACCCUGGUAGUCCACGCCCUAAACGAUGUCAACUAGUUGUUGGUAGAGUAAAAUCUAUGAGUAACGUAGCUAACGCGUGAAGUUGACCGCCUGGGGAGUACGGUCGCAAGAUUAAAACUCAAAGGAAUUGACGG
rnacentral:rRNA from 1 species